rnacentral:rRNA from 2 species
CUGGUGUCAGCCGCCGCGGUAAUACCAGCACCCCGAGUGGUCGGGACGAUUAUUGGGCCUAAAGCAUCCGUAGCCGGUACUGCAAGUCUUCCGUUAAAUCCACCUGCUCAACAGUUGGGCUGCGGGGGAUACUACAGCGCUAGGAGGCGGGAGAGGCAAGCGGUACUUAAUGGGUAGGGGUAAAAUCCACUGAUCCAUUGAAGACCACCAGUGGCGAAGGCGGCUUGCCAGAACGCGCUCGACGGUGAGGGAUGAAAGCUGGGGGAGCAAACCGGGUUAGAUACCCGGGUAGUCCCAGCUGUAAACGAUGCAGACUCGGUGAUGGGCUGGCCUUGUGCCAACCCAGUGCCGCAGGGAAGCCGUUAAGUCUGCCGCCUGGGGAGUACGGUCGCAAGACUGAAACUUAAAG